rnacentral:lncRNA from 1 species
GUCAUCUCUAAUCUGGAAUUUCACAUGAAUUUGCAUAAUAUUCAGCAUACAUUCUCAUCAGCCUUUGGAAUUUAUGCAAACACAAAAGCAAGAAAAAGAAGACAACGCUUCUUUUGGUGCAUCCAUUAACAAAGUGUCUUCAUACAUUGCUACGCGGUGGAAUCAGGAGAUGAGACGGCUUUCAUUCUGGCAGACCAUAUGCAUCUAUGAAUAUGCAUGAACAUCUGUCUGCUGGUUAACAAGAAGGACAUAUUUGCAAGACAGGAAGCCAUAGAGCUGUUCCUGCUGAGUGCCAAACACACUGUCAACUUAUUACACAGUGGAAGAAAAUGGGAUACUUUGACACACCAGAACAUGUGCGGAUGAUAAAAGUGUGUCUUUUAUUCUCAGGGAUCGCCUGCAAGGGG